UGAUUUCUUUUGCUAAGAUCAAUUACACCUGGGUGGCGACAACUAAAGUGAUGAAGAGGAUAAUAGCCAUCUUUCCAUAAGGCCAUGGGAAAAUGAAGUAUGGCAAUUGUGCUAAUCCUUGAGUGCAAGCAACUAUCUGGAGAGUUGAUCUUGUAUUUGGAAGAGGUGGCCCAGGAUGGUUCUGUAUUAGGUCUGCGAAAGGAUAAGAUUCUAGCAGAAGGGAUUAGCGAAGAAGAAGACCAAGGUGAUUUCUCUCUCUAAUGUUUUCCGUGUAAUUCGGAAAUAAGACCAAGAAGAAGACCAAGAGGGCGCUGGUGACAGACGAUGACGUUGUGAUCUCCUUAUAUCGAUUCUUUCAUGUCUCUGUACCAUGGAACCUAUUCGUGUUUCCUUUUUGUCUUUUGAGGUAACAAAGUUCAAAAAUGAUCCAAAUAAGCUUAUCCAUGAGGAGCAUGAGGAGCAGCUCUGCUUUUGAGGCUGCGGCCAUAGACCUCACCGUCCCCUGCAGCGACUGGCAAUUUGAGGACAUGCCUUAAUAAUGGAGUCAGAUCUACUCAUUAGGCAGAAGGAACAAAGGAGAGCAUAUUGUUAGUACGAGGUGGAUGGAGAUUCUUUGGGGAUGUCAUGGACCAUAAUGAAGUUGUGUUGGAACCCGGCAAAUUGAAGUUCUGUUGAAGUGGACUGCGGUGGAAGGUUUGUGCUUUGGUGAGCAUGCUUAUGAUUGGUUACUUGCCUUCCAAAAUAUGUAUAGCUCCACUGGUUCUUUAUGGCCCUGCACUACUUAACCACACAAUGUACAAGGUCUAAUGCGGCAUCAAUGUCUAAGGAAUUGGAAGAAUGUAUGUAAAUGCUAAUUUGAUACUGACACGUGAUUAUAAUAGAAGUUGAAGUCAAUUAUUUAAUAGUUCUCUCGAUCCGAUUUAUGAUCUUCCUUGUGUCCAUGUUCCAACCAAGGCAGCGUGAAAGAAAGCUGAACCAAGCAUUAAUUGGUUGUUUGAAUUAGUAAAGGCGACGAAUUUGCAGGUAUAUCUAUCUAAAAUUUACGUCAAUGGUAGGAUAGAGUUGUGGAGGCGUUGUAGUGCACUAUUGCAUCCAUU